rnacentral:rRNA from 1 species
ACACAUGCAAGUCGAGGGGCAGCAUGGUCUUAGCUUGCUAAGGCCGAUGGCGACCGGCGCACGGGUGAGUAACACGUAUCCAACCUGCCGUCUACUCUUGGACAGCCUUCUGAAAGGAAGAUUAAUACAAGAUGGCAUCAUGAGUCCGCAUGUUCACAUGAUUAAAGGUAUUCCGGUAGACGAUGGGGAUGCGUUCCAUUAGAUAGUAGGCGGGGUAACGGCCCACCUAGUCUUCGAUGGAUAGGGGUUCUGAGAGGAAGGUCCCCCACAUUGGAACUGAGACACGGUCCAAACUCCUACGGGAGGCAGCAGUGAGGAAUAUUGGUCAAUGGGCGAGAGCCUGAACCAGCCAAGUAGCGUGAAGGAUGACUGCCCUAUGGGUUGUAAACUUCUUUUAUAAAGGAAUAAAGUCGGGUAUGCAUACCCGUUUGCAUGUACUUUAUGAAUAAGGAUCGGCUAACUCCGUGCCAGCAGCCGCGGUAAUACGGAGGAUCCGAGCGUUAUCCGGAUUUAUUGGGUUUAAAGGGAGCGUAGAUGGAUGUUUAAGUCAGUUGUGAAAGUUUGCGGCUCAACCGUAAAAUUGCAGUUGAUACUGGAUAUCUUGAGUGCAGUUGAGGCAGGCGGAAUUCGUGGUGUAGCGGUGAAAUGCUUAGAUAUCACGAAGAACUCCGAUUGCGAAGGCAGCCUGCUAAGCUGCAACUGACAUUGAGGCUCGAAAGUGUGGGUAUCAAACAGGAUUAGAUACCCUGGUAGUCCACACGGUAAACGAUGAAUACUCGCUGUUUGCGAUAUACAGCAAGCGGCCAAGCGAAAGCGUUAAGUAUUCCACCUGGGGAGUACGCCGGCA